rnacentral:rRNA from 1 species
CCGUAGGUGAACCUGCGGAAGGAUCAUUAACGAGUUAGGGUCCCUCGCGGCCCGACCUCCCAACCCUUUGUCUACCUGACCACUGUUGCUUCGGCGAGCCCGUCUGUAAUGGACCGCCGGGGGGUACCUUGAUCGGCCCUCUGGUCCGCGCUCGUCGAUAGCCAAACUUUUAAAAUCUUAACCAAACGUGUCUCAAUCUAAGUAUUAUUUGUUAAAUAAAAGCAAAACUUUCAACAACGGAUCUCUUGGUUCUGGCAUCGAUGAAGAACGCAGCGAAAUGCGAUAAGUAAUGCGAAUUGCAGAAUUUCAGUGAGUCAUCGAAUCUUUGAACGCACAUUGCGCCCUUUGGUAUUCCGAAGGGCAUGCCUGUUCGAGCGUCAUUAUCACCCCUCAAGCCCCUGGCUUGGUGUUGGACGGUUUGGUGGAGGCCCCCUCGCGGGGCCACCGCCCCUCCCAAAGACAAUGACGGCGGCCUCGUUGGACCCCCGGUACACUGAGUUCUUCACGGGACACGUAUCGGACACAUGGGUUUACGGGACACGGUCUGCCUCCCCUCAGGGAGAAUCUUUCUAAGGUUGACCUCGGAUCAGGUAGAACCCCCC